rnacentral:rRNA from 1 species
AGCAGCCGCGGUAAUUCCAGCUCCAAUAGCGUAUAUUAAAGUUGUUGCAGUUAAAAAGCUCGUAGUUGAAUUUCGGGAUCAAGGAAUCGGUCAUGCCUCGGUAUGUACUGGUUUUAUUGGUUCUCACCUUCUAAAGAACCAUAAUGUCAUUUAUUUGAUGUUAUGGGGAAUUAGGACUGUUACCUUGAAAAAUUAGAGUGUUUAAAGCAAACUCACGCUUGAAUACAUUAGCAUGGAAUAAUGAAAUAGGACGUUUGAUUCUAUUUUGUUGGUUUCUAGGAUCGACGUAAUGAUUAAUAGGGAUAGUUGGGGGCAUUAGUAUUCAAUUGUCAGAGGUGAAAUUCUUGGAUUUAUUGAAGACUAACUACUGCGAAAGCAUUUGCCAAGGAUGUUUUCAUUAAUCAAGAACGAAAGUUAGGGGAUCGAAGACGAUCAGAUACCGUCGUAGUCUUAACCAUAAACUAUGCCGACUGGGGAUCGGAUGAUGUUAAUUUUU